UACGUAGGGGGCAAGCGUUGUCCGGAUUUAUUGGGCGUAAAGAGCGUGUAGGCGGCCAGGUAGGUCCGUUGUGAAAACUGGAGGCUUAACCUCCAGCUGUCGAUGGAAACCAUCUGGCUAGAGUCCGGAAGAGGAGAGUGGAAUUCCUGGUGUAGCGGUGAAAUGCGCAGAUAUCAGGAAGAACUCCCGUGGCGAAGGCGGCUCUCUGGGACGGUACUGACGCUGAGACGCGAAAGCGUGGGGAGCGAACAGG
rnacentral:rRNA from 1 species